rnacentral:lncRNA from 1 species
UGGAUGUUUAAUUGUUGACUGCUAUGUAGGUCUGAGAUGAAUUGUUCUGCUACUGGCUCUACAUGAAAUUUAAACAGAAAGUAAAAGGUAAUAAUUGCUUUUUAUUGCAGAUUGAAUUACAUGUUUGCUUCACUAAAUAGCUGAUGUAUUUGUAACUCUAUGGUGUCGUGUUUGAUGUACUGGAUUAGACUACAGACGAGCUGAUCAAAUGUCUCGCGUUUUUGUACUUUUUCCUAAAGUAGCAAACAUGCCUAUAUGUAGAGGUUAGCCUGCAAGCAUGCCUCAUGUGGGCCACCAUGCUCAAUAUAUGUUUUUUUUUUUUUUUUUUUUAAAAUAAUUUUCUUAAAAGAAAUAAUACAAUGAAAAUUUUCAGGGUUAAAUUUUUCGUUUCACCCUCUUUCAUCUUUACAUGAUAACUUUGAUUAUUAAUUUUGUAGUUUAUUUUCUUCUAGUUUCUCAUCCAUGAUUGCAGAAACAAAGGCAUCAAUCUUUCAAUACUCAUUAUUCUACUUUUGGCUAUUACAUUCUUUAUUUUCUACUAUGGUCUCUUAUUUGUUCGUUCUUUUUCUCAGUUCACAUUCAAUAGUUGCUAAAUACAUGGUCGCACAGUUGGGAUAUAGCCCUCAGAUUUUCCUUUUGUUUUACUUGUGCAGUUUCAUGAAUAUAUAAUAAGGCUAUUUUGUUUAUAUGUCGCCGUUUUUCACUCUGCAUAGUAUUCAAGUAUUUCUCUUGAUUUGUUCCAGGAUGAGCAGGAUUGAAGUCGACAUUUGCAUUGUCGCUCUGAAUUACAUUUUCCAUAUCUAGAAGCCCUCGUUCGCAUUUUCAUCAACAACUUUUCCCCUCCAAAUGUAUUCCCAAGAUUGUUUUGGAUGUUUAAUUGUUGACUGCUAUGUAGGUCUGAGAUGAAUUGUUCUGCUACUGGCUCUACAUGAAAUUUAAACAGAAAGUAAAAGGUAAUAAUUGCUUUUUAUUGCAGAUUGAAUUACAUGUUUGCUUCACUAAAUAGCUGAUGUAUUUGUAACUCUAUGGUGUCGUGUUUGAUGUACUGGAUUAGACUACAGACGAGCUGAUCAAAUGUCUCGCGUUUUUGUACUUUUUCCUAAAGUAGCAAACAUGCCUAUAUGUAGAGGUUAGCCUGCAAGCAUGCCUCAUGUGGGCCACC